ACAAGCUUUCGGGAGAACCUCCCUUUCUCAAGUCUGAAGCAUUUCUGAGCUCAGAAAUGCUUCAGACUUGAGAAAGGGAGGUUCUCCCGAAAGCUUG